rnacentral:rRNA from 1 species
GACGUAGGGCGCGAGCGUUGUCCGGAUUUAUUGGGCGUAAAGAGCUCGUAGGCGGCUUGUCGCGUCGUCCGUGAAAAACUUGGGGCUCAACCCCCAAGCUUGCGGUCGAUACGGGCAGGCUGGAGUUCGGUAGGGGAGACUGGAAUUCCUGGUGUAGCGGUGAAAUGCGCAGAUAUCAGGAGGAACACCGGUGGCGAAGGCGGGUCUCUGGGCCGAUACUGACGCUGAGGAGCGAAAGCGUGGGGAGCGAACAGG